CGGCACCUGUCUUCGGAUAGAAGCGAGUGGCGAACGGCUGAGUAACACGUGGAGAACCUGCCCCCUCCCCCGGGAUAGCCGCCCGAAAGGACGGGUAAUACCGGAUACCCCGGGGUGCCGCAUGGCACCCCGGCUAAAGCCCCGACGGAGGGGAUGGCUCCGCGGCCCAUCAGGUAGACGGCGGGGUGACGGCCCACCGUGCCGACAACGGGUAGCCGGGUUGAGAGACCGACCGGCCAGAUUGGGACUGAGACACGGCCCAG
rnacentral:rRNA from 1 species